CACGUAGGGAGCAAGCGUUGUCCGGAAUCAUUGGGCGUAAAGCGCGCGUAGGCGGCCCGAUAAGUCCGCUGUGAAAGUCAACGGCUCAACUGUUGGAUGCCGGUGGAUACUGUCGGGCUAGAGUACGGAAGAGGCAAGUGGAAUUCCUGGUGUAGCGGUGGAAUGCGCAGAUAUCAGGAGGAACACCUAUAGCGAAGGCAGCUUGCUGGGACGUUACUGACGCUAAGGCGCGAAAGCGUGGGGAGCGAACAGG
rnacentral:rRNA from 1 species